AGGCAGGGCCUCCCUGAUGUCACAAUUGAAGGGCCACACUCAGUCUAUAUAUUUGGAGACUGAAGACUAGGUCCUAUAGUGGUUCAUUUUUGUUGAAAGGACUGCAUCAUUCACAUUUAUAAGGUACAAUACUGUCAACCGACAAGCUACAGGCAUUUCCAAGUCUUUGGAUGUGAGCCUCUUUCCAACUAUGUAUGCCACACCUCAUCAUACUACAAUGAUGCCAAGGCCACAAAUAUCAUCUAUGACAUUGUCCAGUCGUAUGGCUUGAAAAUCAAUAUGGACAACACCAAUGUGGUGACAACAAAAAUAUAUAUCAGGCCAUUGUUCACCUCGAGGAUACCCAGCAUGAGCAGGUGCAGGACUUCAAAUACCUAGGGUUGUUGGUCCAGGAAUAGAAAGUGGAAUUGACAGGAGUGACCCAUGGUAGGUGGCUGCGGCGUUCACCCCCCUGAAAUGAUGUCUGUAGGUGAGAACCAAUAUUUCCAUGAAGUCCAAACUUUGCCUCAUCCGGAAGCUGAUCUUGCCAAUCCUCCUUUAUGGAUCAGAAACAUGGACCUUGCUCAAACUGGAUCUGAACAAACUCAAGGUAUUCCAAAUGCGAUAUCUGCAACAGAUCCUGGGAGUCUUACUUCAUGAUUCCAUCACCAAUGAAAUCAUUCGGGCAAGAUGUCAACAGCAACCAAGCUUUGACAACCAAAUCGAGCAGCGAAGGUUAAGCAGAUUCAGCCUUGUGUGCAGAAUGGGCACAAACAGGCUAACACACAGACACCUCUGGAGACAGUGACCCACCCAGUGGAGGAUACAAUGGACUGUGUUCAAGAAAACAUGGACCAAAUAAGUGGAGGAAGAUCUGAAGGUCUGAUGACUUGACCUAAAUCAGGCCAGGACCAUUGCCAUGGUCCAUGAAAAGCAUCAUGAAUCUGAAACCCUGUGGCACCCAUAGCAGUAUACUGGUUGUGUGGCUAACUGCCAGCUAGGGAUCAGAGAAAGAGAGAGAGAGAGAUGAAAAACUGUGUUUUCUUCACCAAGACCAUUUCUUCAAACUGUUUGAGCCUAUAUUAUUCAUUGUGCUUGACUUACAUAUGUACUUCUGAAAGAACAGCGGCUUGCCUCUCAUAUUGUUGGGCCCAAAUCCAACUGAUGAGCCAGGUUACAGAAAGGCAAACUGGAACAUAUGGUAUAGAUAGACCUAAGCAAAUAUUUAAAAAAAAAAAAAAAACAAAACAAGACAUAAAUACAAAGGAUACAUCCCUCAUUCUUGGUUCCCUCAUUUGUUAAUUUUUUUAAUUUCCUAAAUUCCUUUGAAUUUUUGUUUUUUAACCUAGCCAUGAUACCUGUUGAAGACAACUGAUUAUAAUAAUUUCUUUUGUCCUACUUUUACUUUCCUCAGUGUUUGUACCUAUCUGAACCUCUCUCGUGCUCCCAGAAAGCCUGCUUUUCAGACUGUUAUUUUUUUUUUUUUUUUGAGGCAACUUUUUCACCUACGGUCCAGCUUUACGCCUUCCGUCUUUUAAGAUAACUCUUUCAAUGUGUGUCUAUACUCUUCCUCAUCCAGCCUCACUUCCUCUUGCAUCACCAAAGCCAAACUGACCAAUCACACCAAAGCCAAACUAACCAAUCAGAGUGCUCUGAAGGACUGGGCACAUGAAACUUAGUGUUUUAUUAUAUUGUAGACUAUUUCAUAUUUUGCCUGGAACCAGUUGGUUUAUGAACAUCAGGCACUGCAAAUCACAGAGCUGCAGUAACCUGAGGGAAGUACAAGAACCCUUUUAUGCCUCAUCUCUUUACUAUGGCAUUACCUUCUUCCUCAUUCUCUCUUAGCAGGUUUUUGAUUACCUUAAAAUUAUUAUUUUUUUGUUUACUUUGUAUUUUCUGUUUAAUGACUUCAGUCUCAUAAAAGGUUUAUCUACUAGUGGUUCUUUAAAUGCAAAUUUUUGAAAUCUCUCAUUGAAAAACAUUGGUAAAUUCCA